rnacentral:rRNA from 1 species
GGGUUGUCAGAGACUAUGACGUUGAUAGGCUACAGAUGUAAAGUUGGUAACAACAAAGUCGAGUAGUACUAAUUGCCCGUAAGCUUUAAUUUU